rnacentral:rRNA from 1 species
GCCUACGGGGGGCAGCAGUGGGGAAUUUUGGACAAUGGGCGCAAGCCUGAUCCAGCCAUGCCGCGUGAGUGAAGAAGGCCUUCGGGUUGUAAAGCUCUUUCGGCCGGAACGAAAUCGCACCCCCUAAUACGGGGUGUGGAUGACGGUACCGGAAGAAGAAGCACCGGCUAACUACGUGCCAGCAGCCGCGGUAAUACGUAGGGUGCGAGCGUUAAUCGGCAUUACUGGGCGUAAAGCGUGCGCAGGCGGCUCGCCAAGUCAGAUGUGAAAGCCCCGGGCUUAACCUGGGAAUUGCGUUUGAACCUGGCGGGCUGGAGUGUGGCAGAGGGAGGUGGAAUUCCACGUGUAGCAGUGAAAUGCGUAGAGAUGUGGAGGAACACCGAUGGCGAAGGCAGCCUCCUGGGCCAACACUGACGCUCAUGCACGAAAGCGUGGGGAGCAAACAGGAUUAGAUACCCGUGUAGUCC